GACGUAGGGUCCAAGCGUUGUCCGGAUUUACUGGGCGUAAAGAGCGCGUAGGCGGUCUGUUAAGUGAGAAGUGAAAUCUCCAGGGCUCAACCCGGAAACUGCUUUUCAUACUGGCAGACUUGAGGGAUGCAGAGGUGAAUGGAAUUCCUGGUGUAGCGGUGAAAUGCGUUGAUAUCAGGAGGAACACCCAUGGCGAAGGCAGUUCACUGGGCAUCAUCUGACGCUGAGGCGCGAAAGCGUGGGUAGCAAA
rnacentral:rRNA from 1 species